rnacentral:rRNA from 1 species
AUUGAACGCUGGCGGCAUGCUUUACACAUGCAAGUCGAACGGCAGCGCGGGCUUCGGCCUGGCGGCGAGUGGCGAACGGGUGAGUAAUGCAUCGGAACGUGCCCAGUAGUGGGGGAUAGCCCGGCGAAAGCCGGAUUAAUACCGCAUACGACCUGAGGGUGAAAGCGGGGGACCGAAAGGCCUCGCGCUAUUGGAGCGGCCGAUGUCGGAUUAGCUAGUUGGUGGGGUAAAGGCUUACCAAGGCGACGAUCCGUAGCUGGUCUGAGAGGACGACCAGCCACACUGGGACUGAGACACGGCCCAGACUCCUACGGGAGGCAGCAGUGGGGAAUUUUGGACAAUGGGGGCAAACCUGAUCCAGCCAUGCCGCGUGCGGGAAGAAGGCCUUCGGGUUGUAAACCGCUUUUGUUCGGGAAGAAAUCCUCUGGGCUAAUACCCCGGGGGGAUGACGGCACCGGAAGAAUAAGCACCGGCUAACUACGUG